GACGAACGCUGGCGGCGUGCUUAACACAUGCAAGUCGAACGGAAAGGCCCUGCUUUUGUGGGGUGCUCGAGUGGCGAACGGGUGAGUAACACGUGAGUAACCUGCCCUUGACUUUGGGAUAACUUCAGGAAACUGGGGCUAAUACCGGAUAGGAGCUCCUGCUGCAUGGUGGGGGUUGGAAAGUUUCGGCGGUUGGGGAUGGACUCGCGGCUUAUCAGCUUGUUGGUGGGGUAGUGGCUUACCAAGGCUUUGACGGGUAGCCGGCCUGCGAGGGGGACCGGCCACAUUGGGACUGCGAUACCGCCCAGACUCCUACGGGAGGCAGCAGUGGGGAAUAUUGCACAAUGGGCGGAAGCCUGAUGCAGCAACGCCGCGUGCGGGAUGACGGCCUUCGGGUUGUAAACCGCUUUCGCCUGUGACGAAGCGUGAGUGACGGUAAUGGGUAAAGAAGCACCGGCUAACUACGUG
rnacentral:rRNA from 1 species